rnacentral:rRNA from 1 species
AUUGAACGCUGGCGGCAUGCCUUACACAUGCAAGUCGAACAGCAGCACGGGAGCAAUCCUGGUGGCGAGUGGCGAACGGGUGAGUAAUAUAUCGGAACGUGCCCAGUCGUGGGGGAUAACGCAGCGAAAGCUGUGCUAAUACCGCAUACGAUCUACGGAUGAAAGCGGGGGAUCGCAAGACCUCGCGCGAUUGGAGCGGCCGAUAUCAGAUUAGCUAGUUGGUGGGGUAAAGGCCCACCAAGGCGACGAUCUGUAGCUGGUCUGAGAGGACGACCAGCCACACUGGAACUGAGACACGGUCCAGACUCCUACGGAAGGCAGCAGUGGGGAAUUUUGGACAAUGGGCGCAAGCCUGAUCCAGCAAUGCCGCGUGCAGGAUGAAGGCCUUCGGGUUGUAAACUGCUUUUGUACGGAACGAAACGGCUCCUUCUAAUACAAGGGGCUAAUGACGGUACCGUAAGAAUAAGCACCGGCUAACUACGUGCCAGCAGCCGCCGUAACAC